UUAAGCGACUAAGCGUACACGGUGGAUGCCCUGGCAGUCAGAGGCGAUGAAGGACGUGCUAAUCUGCGAUAAGCGUCGGUAAGGUGAUAUGAACCGUUAUAACCGGCGAUUUCCGAAUGGGGAAACCCAGUGUGAUUCGUCACACUAUCAUUAACUGAAUCCAUAGGUUAAUGAGGCGAACCGGGGGAACUGAAACAUCUAAGUACCCCGAGGAAAAGAAAUCAACCGAGAUUCCCCCAGUAGCGGCGAGCGAACGGGGAGCAGCCCAGAGCCUGAAUCAGUGUGUGUGUUAGUGGAAGCGUCUGGAAAGGCGCGCGAUACAGGGUGACAGCCCCGUACACAAAAAUGCACAUGCUGUGAGCUCGAUGAGUAGGGCGGGACACGUGGUAUCCUGUCUGAAUAUGGGGGGACCAUCCUCCAAGGCUAAAUACUCCUGACUGACCGAUAGUGAACCAGUACCGUGAGGGAAAGGCGAAAAGAACCCCGGCGAGGGGAGUGAAAAAGAACCUGAAACCGUGUACGUACAAGCAGUGGGAGCCUCUUUAUGGGGUGACUGCGUACCUUUUGUAUAAUGGGUCAGCGACUUAUAUUCUGUAGCAAGGUUAACCGAAUAGGGGAGCCGAAGGGAAACCGAGUCUUAACUGGGCGUUAAGUUGCAGGGUAUAGACCCGAAACCCGGUGAUCUAGCCAUGGGCAGGUUGAAGGUUGGGUAACACUAACUGGAGGACCGAACCGACUAAUGUUGAAAAAUUAGCGGAUGACUUGUGGCUGGGGGUGAAAGGCCAAUCAAACCGGGAGAUAGCUGGUUCUCCCCGAAAGCUAUUUAGGUAGCGCCUCGUGAAUUCAUCUCCGGGGGUAGAGCACUGUUUCGGCAAGGGGGUCAUCCCGACUUACCAACCCGAUGCAAACUGCGAAUACCGGAGAAUGUUAUCACGGGAGACACACGGCGGGUGCUAACGUCCGUCGUGAAGAGGGAAACAACCCAGACCGCCAGCUAAGGUCCCAAAGUCAUGGUUAAGUGGGAAACGAUGUGGGAAGGCCCAGACAGCCAGGAUGUUGGCUUAGAAGCAGCCAUCAUUUAAAGAAAGCGUAAUAGCUCACUGGUCGAGUCGGCCUGCGCGGAAGAUGUAACGGGGCUAAACCAUGCACCGAAGCUGCGGCAGCGACACUAUGUGUUGUUGGGUAGGGGAGCGUUCUGUAAGCCUGCGAAGGUGUGCUGUGAGGAUGCUGGAGGUAUCAGAAGUGCGAAUGCUGACAUAAGUAACGAUAAAGCGGGUGAAAAGCCCGCUCGCCGGAAGACCAAGGGUUCCUGUCCAACGUUAAUCGGGGCAGGGUGAGUCGACCCCUAAGGCGAGGCCGAAAGGCGUAGUCGAUGGGAAACAGGUUAAUAUUCCUGUACUUGGUGUUACUGCGAAGGGGGGACGGAGAAGGCUAUGUUGGCCGGGCGACGGUUGUCCCGGUUUAAGCGUGUAGGCUGGUUUUCCAGGCAAAUCCGGAAAAUCAAGGCUGAGGCGUGAUGACGAGGCACUACGGUGCUGAAGCAACAAAUGCCCUGCUUCCAGGAAAAGCCUCUAAGCAUCAGGUAACAUCAAAUCGUACCCCAAACCGACACAGGUGGUCAGGUAGAGAAUACCAAGGCGCUUGAGAGAACUCGGGUGAAGGAACUAGGCAAAAUGGUGCCGUAACUUCGGGAGAAGGCACGCUGAUAUGUAGGUGAAGCGACUUGCUCGUGGAGCUGAAAUCAGUCGAAGAUACCAGCUGGCUGCAACUGUUUAUUAAAAACACAGCACUGUGCAAACACGAAAGUGGACGUAUACGGUGUGACGCCUGCCCGGUGCCGGAAGGUUAAUUGAUGGGGUUAGCGGUAACGCGAAGCUCUUGAUCGAAGCCCCGGUAAACGGCGGCCGUAACUAUAACGGUCCUAAGGUAGCGAAAUUCCUUGUCGGGUAAGUUCCGACCUGCACGAAUGGCGUAAUGAUGGCCAGGCUGUCUCCACCCGAGACUCAGUGAAAUUGAACUCGCUGUGAAGAUGCAGUGUACCCGCGGCAAGACGGAAAGACCCCGUGAACCUUUACUAUAGCUUGACACUGAACAUUGAGCCUUGAUGUGUAGGAUAGGUGGGAGGCUUUGAAGUGUGGACGCCAGUCUGCAUGGAGCCGACCUUGAAAUACCACCCUUUAAUGUUUGAUGUUCUAACGUUGGCCCCUAAUCGGGGUUGCGGACAGUGUCUGGUGGGUAGUUUGACUGGGGCGGUCUCCUCCUAAAGAGUAACGGAGGAGCACGAAGGUUGGCUAAUCCUGGUCGGACAUCAGGAGGUUAGUGCAAUGGCAUAAGCCAGCUUGACUGCGAGCGUGACGGCGCGAGCAGGUGCGAAAGCAGGUCAUAGUGAUCCGGUGGUUCUGAAUGGAAGGGCCAUCGCUCAACGGAUAAAAGGUACUCCGGGGAUAACAGGCUGAUACCGCCCAAGAGUUCAUAUCGACGGCGGUGUUUGGCACCUCGAUGUCGGCUCAUCACAUCCUGGGGCUGAAGUAGGUCCCAAGGGUAUGGCUGUUCGCCAUUUAAAGUGGUACGCGAGCUGGGUUUAGAACGUCGUGAGACAGUUCGGUCCCUAUCUGCCGUGGGCGCUGGAGAACUGAGGGGGGCUGCUCCUAGUACGAGAGGACCGGAGUGGACGCAUCACUGGUGUUCGGGUUGUCAUGCCAAUGGCACUGCCCGGUAGCUAAAUGCGGAAGAGAUAAGUGCUGAAAGCAUCUAAGCACGAAACUUGCCCCGAGAUGAGUUCUCCCUGACUCCCUGAGAGUCCUGAAGGAACGUUGAAGACGACGACGUUGAUAGGCCGGGUGUGUAAGCGCAGCGAUGCGUUGAGCUAACCGGUACUAAUGAACCGUGAGGCUUAACCUU
rnacentral:rRNA from 1 species